rnacentral:rRNA from 1 species
AUUGAACGCUAGCGGGAUGCCUUACACAUGCAAGUCGAACGGCGUGGCGAACGGGUAAGUAAUGUAUCGGAACGUGCCCAGUCGCGGGGGAUAACUAAGCGAAAGGGUAGCUAAUACCGCAACCUAUUGCAGCGGCCGAUAUCGGAUUAGCUAGUUGGUGGGGUAAAGGCUCACCAAGGCGACGAUCCGUAGCCGGUUUGAGAGGAAGACCAGCCACACUGGGACUGAGACACGGCCCAGACUCCUACGGGAGGCAGCAGUGGGGAAUUUUGGACAAUGGGGGAAACCCUGAUGCAGCCAUCCCGCGUGUGUGAUGAAGGCCUUCGGGUUGUAAAGCACUUUUGGCAGGAAGGCGGUACCUGCAGAAGAAGCACCGGCUAACUACGUGCCAGCCGCCGCGGUAAUAC